GUAUAUGAUGUUGACAUGUCAUUUUAGAUUUGUUUGCCAUCACAGUCUACAGAGCUAGAGUCAGAAACUACAUGUACUACAGAAAGCAGUCAAUAUUUAUCUCAGAAUUUUUCUGGAAGCUACACACACACCUUUACAACUACUACCUUAACCACUGAGAAGAGUUUUUGGACCAUACACUGCUUGGUUGAAGUCCCUGCUAUCAUGACAGUUCAGGUGGGGCAGUUCCAAAAAGGGUAUAGUACAAUGUGCAGAAUUAUUGCUCAGUGUGGUGUGAAAAUAAUAACCAAUUUAGAGGGAAUUGACUACUUUGUGGCAGAAGGAUAAGUCCAGCAUUCAAAACAUUAUCAAAAUUUUUGUGCAAAUAGAGGGUUUGAAUCUACAACAGAGCAAAGAUGCAAGAUCCUUACUUUUACAGUGCAGACAGUAUCUCAAAACAGAUU